rnacentral:ncRNA from 3 species
CACUGACUGGCUCAGCGUGUGCCU